CAGAGAUUUGUAUAAACCUUGCCGUCUGUCUCUCCGAGCUUUCAAUAUUGAAUUGCGAUCUCCACCGUCCCAUAUAAAGUGGAUGUGUCCGAACGAGACCGAGAGCAAAUUGAGCUGGUUGUCAUAGCAACAUACAAAACUUUUUCCAGUUAACUGGCUAAAUCGAUACUUUGUUGCGAAAACAAAAAUGGAUGAGUGGACCAUUUAUUUUGAUAUUUUCGGCGGCAUGACUAUGGAUGAAUGGGAAAAAGAAAUGGCAAUAAUACCCGGGCAUGCAGAUUUGUGGGAUACUGCAUUGAAUGACCUAGAGAAAAGCCGCAACGAACAAACACAGCUAAGAAUACAAACUGGGCUGUGCGGUGUGGUGCUUCGAGGGCUGGCUAGCAGAGAAGAAAAAAGUUGUUGACUUCAAAAAACUGUCACUAAGGAAGAUUAACAUCCUUCUCAGACAGUUUUAUGGAAAUUUAUGAAAUGGGAAGGGGGAACAGUAUAGCAUAAGUAGCUACCUGGCACUCCGCAGUGGGCUCAACCGGUUUUUAAAUGACCCACCCAUCGGUCGCAGCUGGUGCCUUAUGAAGGACACUGAAUUUACCACCUCGAAUCAUGUAUUUCUGGGCAACAUCAAACAGGUAAGAAGGCAAGGAAAAUAUAUCACAAACAGCCACCCUCCCAUCACCGAUAAGGACAUGGACCAGCUCAAAAACUCCCAGGCUCUGAAUUCCGGUACACCAAGGGGCCUGGUCCAGAAAGUGUGGUUCGACCUCCAGUUACAUCUGGAUCGAAAAGGAAAAGAGGGGAACAGACAACUAAAGCCCAACUCAUUCCUCGUAAAAACUGACGAGAACGGUCUAAGAUAAGCCACUCUCGCAUAUAACGAGGCCACAAAUAAUCAUCUGGACCCAAGGGAGAGGGCCAGGGAGUCCAAGAGGGUAUUCAUGUUCGAGCAGCCAGGGAUCCCACUUUACCCGGUGGCAUCACUGGAGAAAUAUCUAUCGAAAUGCCCGGAGAAAACCUUGCAUUUUAUCUCCACCGAAGGAGAGGAGAGUAUGGGGGACUCGAUCUGGUACACGUCAGAGCCGAUGGGCGUGAACUAUCUGGCAGCACUUCUACCCAGGAUCUGCAGGGCAGCGGGUACAACUACAUACACAAAUCACAGCAUUAGGACCACGACAGUCCAGAAACUGGCCAAUGCUGGUUUAGAAGCGAGGGAAAUUGUCAGUGAGUGGGCAUCGGUGCGAAGGUUCGCUCCAUAACUACUGGCGUCCUUGGCGUCCCUCACUGACAGACAGAAAACGCUGGAGCAACAUCCUGGCCGAAAACAAAGGGAACACUGCAGCACCAAUCAACACCCAAAAGGCUGAAGCAAAGCAGCAGAAGUAGUAGCACAGACUCAGAUAUUUCAACCAAUGCACCAUCCAGGAGAAUGUACAGAUAAAUGUGACAUACAAAAGUAGCUAUAGCUAUGUCAUCUGUGGUGGAUAACAAAGAGAAUGUAUGGUUUCAUUUAUUAAAAUCAGCUCAAAUGAA